AGCCAGAGCCAUCCCUCCGGAGGGUCUGACCUAGCAUUUCACGUGUGGCAUGCUACAUCUCAUACAGUUUCUGAAUUCUAAUACCAUUCCUGUGUAGUUGGACACUCCAUAGGGCAAAUUUGAUGCUUUGUACAUCACUUCUGGACCUGUUUAUUAAUGUUGCCGUGAUCUGGGUUUCCAUGUACUGAUAGAUGCAUUCCUUAUCUUUAUGUGUUCCAUCUAGGCAUAUAUAUGUUUCUGCCCAUAAAUGUAUUUAUGAGCUGGCUCCAUUUUUUACUGCUUUUCUGUACCCUUUAAUCCCCUAAAAAGGGCUAUACAUGCAUUUUAAAGAGUUCACAUCUUCUAUAAACAUUAGCAUUGUCUUACCCCACUGCUCUCUGGCAUGCAGCGGCGAAGAUUUCAUCCUCAACCUCCCUCACGACCCCAGAUUGGGGACAUGGCAUGAAGAUAUGGUUUUGUGAUCUAUGGUCUUGGGUCAUCCGUUGGAUGGGUGAUAAUGGAAAUUUUCUUGAGGACAGACACGUGCAAGUUUUGUGAGAGUUAAACCUGUUUUAUGAGAGUUAAACCUGUUUUAUGAGAGUUAAAGCUAUUUUUUGAGAGUUAAACAUGUGCAUACGAAUGGAUUUUUUUUAGAACUGGUCAAACUAUUUUUUUGUAAGAGUUAAAGCUGUUUUCUUGAGGACAAACCCGUGAAUAAGUCUCAUCUGUAUAGAUUAAUUAAUAUAAUAGGACAACAAUUUAAGUUUAUUGAAGCUCUUUCUAAGAAGCGGGGGUCUGCUUUGGUUUCUUGUUGUUUGCCUAUUCUCUUAAAAACAGUUGACUGGAUGCAGCUGACGGGUUAUACAUCAAUAAUUUGGGCAGUUGGAUAUGGCAUUUACAAGUAAAGGAUUUCAGAAAUCUAAUAUGGCAUGCCUAUUUUUCAUGGAAAAACGAAUGGUACCUUAUUUACUAUUUAGUUUUUAAGCUAGACUAAUUUGACUACACGCUUCCUGAGGUGCCUUCUGUUUUUGAAUAGUCAUAGAAUUCUCCUGAUUACGAGAUGUUCCUUUGUCACUAUUUGAAUUUCUGCCUUGAGUGGCCUCUGUCUUGGUUUACAGCUCCAUAUGGCUACUUAUGUAUAACAUAAGGAGGUCCUGUUUGAACUGUUCUCAAAUAUGUUUACUACAGCAAAGUGGAAUAUGCAAAGUUUCUGUGUUGAUUAGGCAAAUACUUGCUUUGCCUUAAAUACUGUCCCCAUCUAUGUUCCAGGUUUUUUGGGUAUGAAUUAUUUCCCUGGAAUGGAUCAACACAUUUGCAUGGGAUUUUAGAAAAAUAUAUGUGAAUGCAUCUUUCUAAUAAAAGCAUUGCUUAAGAAAUACCCUUUUCUGAAAUCAAAAUUGUUGUUGGUCUUCUGAUCACUUUCAUUGUCUAUCAGAUAGGCUAUGGCUUCCAUAAGCUAGCAUCAUUAGGGUCAGGUCGUUGUGUUUAGUUUAUUUUCAGUGCCUUGCAAGUUAGUGGUUCCCAGAAGAUUGUAGCCUACCUUAUUAGCGUCGACUGGCAUAUUUAUCUUUCAAUGUCAUUGCUUAACCAUGCCUGGCUGACUGCUAUAUUUAUAUAUGCACAAAGUGCUUAUUCCUUUGGUGCUUCCAGAUUGUCAAGGUAUGAGCAGAGCAGCGAGGGAUGAGAAAUGGGGUAACUUAUCGUAGACAUACAGAAAUGAAAAUAAAGCUAUGCACAGAGAAAAGGUGUAGAAUUGAUUGCUGGGCAUGAAUUCCGGCAUGGACCACUUUGCUUUGCUUUUGUCACAUUAAAAUUAAUCAUAUAUAGUAAUUUUUUUGUCCACAGUACUAUGAUCCAUCCAUCAUUGUUGGUUCACCAUUCUAAAGGAAAUAGACAAAGGUAAAAUCUUAGUGUACUUGAAUAUAUAGAUUUGUCUGAUUGUGUUGUAAUCUUAGUUUCCUUUUAUCUUUCUAUAUAUGAACCUGCUAUUAUGUGUCAUUGUGUUGUGGUCUUGACCAUCUGCAGCAAGGGUUAGGCAAAUAGUUAUCCUGUAAAAUGAGUUGCCGGUUCUUACCACGUGGUUGCUAUUUUAUUUUGCAAUUUUUAUGCAUCACAUGAUUACUUUUUUAAAAAGUGAUCUUAAUUCAUGGUCCUUAGUUUACUGAUCGUUCGGCGGCUCUGUGUACCAAUAUAGUGGUGCAUCUAGGAGGAAGGGAUCUAGAGACGACGAUGGACAAAACAAUCCUGCAGAGGCAGCAAGAGGCAGUUCUCGACAAAUCACUAUAAGCGCAAGGAUCCAAUGGAAGAAUUUGGUGAAGAACAAGGUCUCCAUCAUUUGGCGUCAAGGAAAGGAAGACCAUGUCAUCAUUUGGCCAGUGCAGGUCCCCAUGCCCCUGUAUCUGCCCUCGAAGCCGGGUUCCGCGAGCUAAGGUUGCAGGGGAGAAUGAACGUGCAAGUUUCCAGCAGCAAAGUUUUUUCUACAUUUGAUGGGUAGCUAAAUUAGUUUGAUUUCACGGAUGAUGGAGCCUUGCUGUGUGACGUAGUUCCUGGUGAAGAAAUAUUUGUUAGGUCUAUGUAUGUGUGUACUGGAGUUGGUGCAUCUCCAAGGAAGAACCAAACCCUUAUUCCUAUCUUACAAUAUUUUACACUUAAAUGCAAAUGCAAAGUGUUAGCUA